AACUAACGCUGGCGGCGUGCCUAAUACAUGCAAGUCGAACGAGGAAGUAUCUUCGGAUAUUGUACUAGUGGCGUACGGGUGAGUAACGCGUGGAUAAUCUUCCUCUAGGUGGGGAAUAACCAGUCGAAAGAUUGGCUAAUACCGCAUAAGACCACAGGAGCUUCGGCUCAAGGGGUUAAAGGCGUAAGCCGCCUGGAGAUGAGUCUGCGCCCGAUUAGCUAGUUGGUGAGGUAAUGGCUCACCAAGGCGACGAUCGGUAGCUGGUCUGAGAGGACGACCAGCCACACUGGGGCUGAGAAACGGCCCAGACUCCUACGGGAGGCAGCAGUAGGGAAUAUUGCACAAUGGAGGAAACUCUGAUGCAGCGACGCCGCGUGAGUGACGAAGGCCUUCGGGUUGUAAAGCUCUGUUCUCUGGGAAAAAGAAAGUGAUUGUACCAGAGAAGAAAGGACCGGCUAACUUCGUGCCAGCCGCCGCAGUAA
rnacentral:rRNA from 1 species